rnacentral:RNase_P_RNA from 1 species
CUUUUGAAGAGGAAAGUCUGCACUCCACAGAGCAAGGUGCCAGUUAACGGCUGGUGGGGGUGACCCUAAGGCUAGUGCAACAGAGAUAUACCGCCUGUUUAUCAGGUAAGGGUGGAAAGGCGAGGUAAGAGCUCACCGUGAUAUUGGUAACAAUAUUGACAUGUAAACCCCACUUGGAGCAAGACCAAAAUAGGAAAAAACAAAUGCUGCUCGCAUUUGCCGGUAGGUAGGUCGCUUGAAUUUAUUGGUGACAAUAAAUCUAGAUAGAUGAUUGAUUAAACAGAAUGCAGCUUACAGAAUUACU